AAGCAAACUACACGCAUAACCGAUAUUAAUGGCUGUUUCCAUCUUAUCCCCGGUCAAAACCCAAAUCUUUAUGCCUGCUUGAGCAAGUUUGUCAAUGCAAUCAGGAACCCCUGGUUGAAGUUUGUCCUCUACAGCAGUAGCACCAAGAAGAAUCAAGUCUUUUUCUAUCUUAUCUGUUACUGCAUCAAUGAUUGCUUCACGGUCUUCACUGACUGAAUUCUUGGCCUCUAAAAA
rnacentral:misc_RNA from 1 species